rnacentral:rRNA from 1 species
AUUGAACGCUGGCGGAAUGCUUUACACAUGCAAGUCGAGCGGCAGCGCAGGGGCAACCCUGGCGGCGAGCGGCGAACGGGUGAGUAACAUAUCGGAACGUACCCCGUCGUGGGGGAUAACUAUACCGAAAGGAUAGCUAAUACCGCAUACGACCUGAGGGUGAAAGCGGGGGACCGUAAGGCCUCGCGCGAUGGGAGCGGCCGAUAUCGGAUUAGCUAGUUGGUGAGGUAAAGGCUUACCAAGGCGAACGAUCCGUAGCUGGUCUGAGAGGACGACCAGCCACACUGGAACUGAGACACGGUCCAGACUCCUACGGAGGCAGCAGUGGGAAAUUUGGACAAUGGGGGCAACCCUGAUCCAGGCCAUUCCGCGUGAGUGA